UGCAUGCAUGACUGUAAGUCACUUUGGAUGAAAGUGUCUGCAAAAUGGAAAAUA
rfam:Salmo salar isolate Sally breed double haploid chromosome ssa12, whole genome shotgun sequence.